rfam:Camelus ferus unplaced genomic scaffold scaffold2300, whole genome shotgun sequence.
GGAGGAUACAGCUCAGUGGUAGAGCACAUGCUUAGCAUGCGCGACAUCCUGGGUUCAAUCCCCGGUACCUCCA